GUGGACCAGAAGGGAUUAGCACUGCUUUCCCAAGAUCAGAGUUAUGUGAUUAUGAUCUUCAGGCUUUGCCUAUCCAGGUUGAGCAGUUGAUGGAAUGGAAUGAUGUUGAGCGGGUGUUCCUUUGACAUUUCAAGAAAUGUAACCUUGAGUAUACAUCUUCAUAUGUAUAUCUCACACGUUUUCCGCUGCAAAACACUUUGAUUAGGAUAACUUUAUGUUAUGAAAUUGUGACACGUGUUAUUGGGUAACCCACCUUAAUCAGUUCUCAUUUAUGUGUAUGUUUUAUAAGUAUCCAAAUAAUCAUAUAUGAUCCUAGCAUUUUAUCUAUGAGUGACAUUUCCAUA